rnacentral:rRNA from 1 species
UACGUAGGGUGCGAGCGUUAAUCGGAAUUACUGGGCGUAAAGCGUGCGCAGGCGGUUCGUUAAGUCAGAUGUGAAAGCCCCGGGCUCAACCUGGGAACUGCAUUUGAAACUGGCGGGCUUGAGUAUGGCAGAGGGGGGUGGAAUUCCGCGUGUAGCAGUGAAAUGCGUAGAGAUGCGGAGGAACACCAAUGGCGAAGGCAGCUCGCUGGAACGGUACUGACGCUGAGGCGCGAAAGCGUGGGGAGCGAACAGG